CCUACGGGCGGCAGCAGUGGGGAAUCUUGCACAAUGGGGGAAACCCUGAUGCAGCGACGCCGCGUGAGUGAAGAAGUAAUUCGUUAUGUAAAGCUCUAUCAGCAGGGAAGAAAAUGACGGUACCUGAGUAAGAAGCCCCGGCUAACUACGUGCCAGCAGCCGCGGUAAUACGUAGGGGGCAAGCGUUAUCCGGAUUUACUGGGCGUAAAGGGAGCGUAGACGGCAGUGCAAGUCUGGAGUGAAAGGCGGGGGCUCAACCCGCGGACUGCUCUGGAAACUGUACGGCUGGAGUGCAGGAGAGGUAAGUGGAAUUCCUAGUGUAGCGGUGAAAUGCGUAGAUAUUAGGAGGAACACCAGUGGCGAAGGCGGCUUACUGGACUGUAACUGACGUUGAGGCUCGAAAGCGUGGGGAGCGAACAGGAUUAGAUACCCUGGUAGUC
rnacentral:rRNA from 1 species